rnacentral:rRNA from 1 species
CCUACGGGAGGCUGCAGUGAGGAAUAUUGGUCAAUGGGAGAGAUCCUGAACUAGCCAAGCCGCGUGAGGGAAGACGGCCCUAUGGGUUGUAAACCUCUUUUGUAGGAGAACAAAACCAGGGACGUGUCCCGGACUGCGUGUAUCCGAAGAAAAAGCAUCGGCUAACUCCGUGCCAGCAGCCGCGGUAAUACGGAGGAUGCGAGCGUUAACCGGAUUUAUUGGGGUUAAUGGGUGCGUAGGCGGUCCGUUAAGGCAGCGGUAAACGUGCGGGGCUCAACCCCGUCGAGCCGUUGAAACUGGCAGACGUGAGUUGGCGAUAAGUACGCAGAAUGCGCGGUGUAUCGGUGAAAUGCAUAGAUAUCGCGCAGAACUCCUAUUGCGAAGGCAGCCUACCGGCGCCAGACUGACGCUGAGGCACGAAAGCGUGGGGAUCGAACAGGAUUAGAUACCCCUGUAGUC